GGCUGAGUGCUGUAGGGAGAGUGUGUGUGAAGAGAAAAGCAAGGGUGCAACAGCCCGCUGAAGUGUGCUCAAGGUCAGCCCCUCUCACAGAAGACCAAGAGGUCACGUUUGACUUAGAAGAAACCAUGAUCAGCUUCAUGAGCGACAUAACUGAAGCCAUUAGCAACCUCAUCCAAGAGUAAUCAUCCAUCAAAGGCAGUCAGCCCAGGAGUAUGUUUGCCACUGUUCAGCAAUGGAUGAAGUGGGCAGCAACUCUACCAGCAUGAGUAUGAGGGAGAUCAUCUUCUCCACAACCAGUGCUGCUCCAGCAGAUCACUAGGUGAGAAGCAAGUCAAACUGAUUUGAAACAUGGAGUACCUCUCACAUUGUCAUUAAGAGGAAGACUUGCUGGACAGUCUCCAUGAAGCCUCAACACUGUUUUGGACUGCUAUUUCCUAUCAAGGGUGCAAGCAGUGCCAACGUGAUAAAAGACAACUAGGAGUUGUCUUUUAGAGGGCUCCAGCUGCUCCCCUAACAUUGCUAGGGCAGCCUAUAGAAUAAAUAUCCAACUCCUGCUAACACAGAUGUAUCUUCUAUGCCAAGGCCUCUGGAAAGGACCUCAACUGGAGGAGUUUCGGCCCUUCAUCUGUGCUGUGUAGAAUCCAGCAAUAAAUCACUCUGAUAUGAAGGUCUAAUAUAGUUAAUAGAGCAUAUAAACCUGUCUACUGUGUUUCAUCAUAUUUAAUUUGCUGCAGCAACCUGAGCCAUCCAAGCUGUUUCAGCCUCCCUUUUACAGCCCUCCAGUGCCCUGAGAGAUGCUCUCCCAGCUGAGGAGUCCCCGUGUCACCAGCACCUCUGCGUCAACAGAGCAGUGCAAUGCCUCCAGAGCAUUCAGCUGCUUCUUGCCCUCCAGCAUGGUCCCAAGUUUAGCAGCUUCUUCAUCACUGGAGGGAGAGCCAGGAGGGAACCCAUGGCCUGGCCAUUCCUGCAAAGAGUGGGCAAGCAGGAGGGCAACACCAGCCUUUGGCAGCCCACAGCUGCAACCUCUUCUGGGUCACGAGCUUUGGGGGUGCUUGGGCUGUGCGGCAGGUGGGUGCAUCUCUCUGGUGAUUUCUCCAGACACACCUCCUGUGAUGUUUUGUGGUUUGUGAGGGAUAUGAUUCACUACCCUGGCAGCCUACUGUGCUGCCUGUGCCCCAUGACAGUGCAUAGCGGGAGAGUAGUGACUCACCAGUCCCCCACAGCCCACAGGAUGGUGGGACUUAAUUUCUCGCAGGGACUGGGGUCUAGUCCGUGCCUCCCAGCCUUUGGUCAAGUUGGAUCACGUGCCUCAGCUUGGGGCACAUGGCUGUGGGAAAACAGGGAUGUUAGGAUGAAGGCAACAGACCUACCUUAAGCUUAUCUAAGAAAAGCCACUGUUAUGUUAGCUGCCUGCCCAAAUGAUCAUACUCAUGCCUUUCAAUAAAUACAAAGCAUGCUGCUGAA